rnacentral:rRNA from 1 species
GAUGAACGCUGGCGGCGUGCCUAAUACAUGCAAGUCGAGCGAACGUCAUAGAAGCUUGCUUCUAUGACGUUAGCGGCGGACGGGUGAGUAACACGUGGGCAACCUGCCUGUAAGACUGGGAUAACUUCGGGAAACCGAAGCUAAUACCGGAUAGGAUCUUCUCCUUCAUGGGAGAUGAUUGAAAGAUGGUUUCGGCUAUCACUUACAGAUGGGCCCGCGGUGCAUUAGCUAGUUGGUGAGGUAACGGAUCACCAAGGCAACGAUGCAUAGCCGACCCGAGAGGGUGGUCGGCCACACUGGGACUGAGACACGGCCCAGACUCCUACGGGAGGCAGCAGUAGGGAAUCUUCCGCAAUGGACGAAAGUCUGACGGAGCAACGCCGCGUGAGUGAUGAAGGCUUUCGGGUCGUAAAACUCUGUUGUUAGGGAAGAACAAGUACGAGAGUAACUGCUCGUACCUUGACGGUACCUAACCAGAAAGCCACGGCUAACUACGCGCCAGCCGCCGCCGUAA